GCUCAGUCUCCAGGGAAAAUCAGUUAAGCUUUGUCCCAGUCCCAGGGGCAGUGGAGGUCAAGAGUUGUUUUGCAAGGACUUAAGAUGUCUUCAUUGGUCAGGCUUCACAGAGAACAAUAUGGCAACCUUCAGUAGCUACAGUGAAUUUUUUUUUUUUUGAGAUGGCAUCUCUCUCUGUUGCCCAGGCUAGAGUGCAGUGACAUGAUCUCGGCUCACUGCAACCUCCGCCUCCUGGGUUCAAGUGAUUCUCCUGCCUCAGCCUCCCGAGUAGCUGGGACUACAGGCUUGUGUCACCACAUCUGGCUAAUUUUUAUAUUUUUAGUAGAGACGAGGGGCUUUACUGGCCCAGCCAGAAACAGAAACUAAGAAGCCAUGACUGUGUUCUCUCUCUCGGAUAGCCCAGGAGGCCUUCGCAUUCUCUCACCACUGACUCACUGACUCAUCCAGAACAACUUUCAGUUAUGGCAAGCUCCAGUCUU
rnacentral:lncRNA from 10 species